AAAACCCGAAUUUUUAUAUUCGUUAAAUGUUAUAAUAUGGCACAUCAAGAAAUAAAUAACUAGGUUAUUUAACCUAGUUAAAAGUAUGGUAGAAGCAAUUAAAGGAUGAGUGUUGUGCCAAUUAUGAAUAAGAGAGAACAUGAGGGACUAAGAUUGCCAAACUUGAAUCUGAGUUUAAUUAAAACAAAAAAAAUCUCAGACACACUAGGUGUGUGCGUGAGAUCGAUCAGGAGGAGGAGAAAAUGGGUGUAAACCCUAGUUCACAAGCAAGCUUCAAAUUGACAAGGAGAUUAGGCUCAAAUCCGAUGCAUGAACUCGUUUUCUUGACAAUCUAUCCCUAGCAAGCAUGUGGAGUCAUGUCAAGACGGACUCAAGCAUGAAAGGCUAACGGGUCAAGAGGAGGCAAGGAAUCGGAUACGAACCCGGAUGCACAAGGUAGUACGAGUCAUGAGGAUCAUCAAGGAACAGAGAUCGAGGA